rnacentral:rRNA from 1 species
UACGAGGGGGGCGAGCGUUGUUCGGAAUCACUGGGCGUAAAGAGUGCGUAGGCGGUUAUGAAAGUUAGGAGUGAAAGCCCCAGGCUCAACUUGGGAAUUGCUCUUAAUACUGCAUAACUCGAAUUCGGGAGAGGAUAGCGGAAUUGUCAGUGUAGCAGUGGAAUGCGUAGAUAUUGACAGGAACACCGGUGGCGUAAGCGGCUAUCUGGACCGACAUUGACGCUGAGGCACGAAAGCGUGGGGAU